UACGAAGGGUGCAAGCGUUGUUCGGAAUUACUGGGCGUAAAGCGCACGUAGGCGGCUUGGUAAGUUAGAGGUGAAAGCCUGGAGCUCAACUCCAGAAUUGCCUUUAAGACUGCCGAGCUAGCAGGUGAGAGAGGUGAGUGGAAUUCCGAGUGUAGAGGUGAAAUUCGUAGAUAUUCGGAAGAACACCAGUGGCGAAGGCGGCUCACUGGCUCAUACUGGACGCUGAGGUGCGAAAGCGUGGGGAGCAAACAGG
rnacentral:rRNA from 1 species